UAUAAUUCUGAAACACAAUCCAGUUUAUAAAUGUAAAAUAACGUUGCAUUCAUACAUUGCUACAUUGUUUUUCAUAAACGCUAUUUUAUACAUAUUAUUGGCCUGCAGUUAAACUUAUUUAUAGUAAUAGACGCUAACUGAACUUCACAAGCAUGUUGACAUUUAUUGUCACCGGUCUUGUCCUGGAGGCAGAACUGGGCGAUUUCCCCUUAAAUAGGCCAGGUGGCUAUAUUGUACAAAUUAUUUGGCCUUCAUUUAAGGUUAGGUUUAAAAUCAGAUGGUAUGGCUUUGUGGCUUUGCCAGCUAGUGACCACUCUACAGAGCCACCUCCAGAACAAGAUGCAUGACGAAAAACGCUAACCUGCGUUUCACAAUUCUUGACUCGGUUUAAAUUCACAGUGGAAGAGAUGCAGGGGUCCUUUGUGACCAUGGCCAAGGACACUGGCACUGCAGAGUGCCAGAAAAGACAGAACCGAAGAAGUGCAAUGUGGCAGAAAAUGGCGGAGCACCUGGGUCCACCUACCCACCAUCACCUAAAACCCACUCCUCUCCCUACACCUGGAAAGAGAUUCUCGCUCUCUCACCCA